AAACUGCCUUAAAACCACUUUCUGGGCAGUUUUGAGUACCUAACACUAAUUUGGACGAAAUUGGACUAUAACUUGACUCAAAGCACUUAAAAACACAAACUAAAUUGAUUUCUAACUAAUCUAACACUUUAAAAUCAUGGGGGAAUGAUUUUGACGAAAAUUGAAACUUUAAAACUUAAACUUUGAAAACAAACUUAAAGCAAAACAGAUUGUGAUGAAAUAGAAUGGUGAGAAACUAGUUAGAGGGUUCCUUAUCCACACAUGAACAUAUGCAUACGAUUCAAUUUCCAAUUACUCUUUCAACAAACCAUGAAUGACAAUGCCCCAAAUUAACUAGAUUGCACCAAUUAAUUCUCAGAUUUCCCUAGAUUCAUUGAAUUGAAUGGAAUACGCAUUACAACCAAAUUAUUCUUAUCAAGGACCCUAACUAUGGAAUACGCAUGAUAGAGACACAUAUCAAAGAUCAUUCAGUUUAAUGGAAAUCAUAAGCAUUGACGAGGCAUUCAUAACUAUGGGAUACGCAUGUUACUCUUGCCUAGGAUUUACUUAACACAAUCGUGACUAGCGACUUUCACUACUUAUGAAUAUAAGUUAAUAACGAUUAGGUGAAAUUCCCUUAUAUCCUAGCAUCGAGUUUAUGCAUGCAAAUUAAGUGUCGACCCUCAACCCACAUACAUAAACAAGUUAUCAAUCAAAUAGAUAAGUAAACCACAUUCACGAUUUAUGAAAUCAUAAUUGGAAGAAAUCAAAUCAUAUAAAACAUAUGUCCAUGGCUUCAAAUUCGCCUCUAACUAAAAAGGAAUUAGUUCCACAUGUUUAACAUAAUUGAAAAGCAAUUUAAAUUAAACAUGAAAACAGAAACAAGAGAAGAAAAAACUCUUAAAACUCCCUUAGAUGCAGAUGACUUGCGCACAAGGCCCUCAUUCAUCAACGGAAUGCACGACAAGGCUCUCCUUCUUCUCCAAAAGGUGCGGCAGAGAUGUGUAUGGAUGUAGGAUGCGGUUUUGUGAUGUAGAAUGGUGUUUAGGGUUGCGGCAAGGUGUGUUUGAAUGGUGUGAAGGGGUGGUCACGAAUUUAGGCUUAAAACACAUAUAUAUAGGCACCACAAACCCUAAAGAAAUCAGGUUAGACAAUGGGCUAGGGUUAGAGAUGGGCCUUCUAGAAUGCCUUGCAAGGCAAGGAAAUAGGUGUUCUAGAAGGCUAGGUGCGGCUGAUUAGUGGGCUAGGGUUAGGGUUUGUAGAUAGGGCUUCUAGAAAGUGAUGCGAAAUAGAUAAGCACACAAUUAAACCCUCUUUUUGUCAAAUUGUAGCAAAGAUGUAAGUAGGGAUCGUUCUAAACCGGGGAUUAGGAGGGAUUGCUAAACACUUGAAAACUGACUCAAUAAUGUAAAAACAAAGUUAAAACACUAAACUAGACUCAAAGAAUGUAAAAUUAAAAGUUAAAACACCAAAACAAGGUAAAGGAACCAAAACAGCAAAUAAACACUCAAAACUGCCUUAGAAGCACAAUCUGGGCAGUUUUGAGUACUAACACAAAUUUGGACGAAUUUAUGUUAUAACUUGACUCAAAACACUAGAAAACAUAAACUAACACACUUUCUAACUAAUCUAAGACUCUAAAAUAAAGGGGGAUUUUGUUUUGACGAAAAUUAAAAUAAAGAAAACAGAUUGGAAAUAGGGCAGAUUGUAAAAAUGAUUUUUGUGAAAUAGAUGGGUAGAAGGCUAGUUAGGAGGUUCUUCUCCACACAUGUCACACUUGCAAACAAAACGAUUUUCAGUUGUUCUUCCAAUAAAUUAUGAAACUCAACACCCCCAAGUUAAUUAGAUACGCUUAAAUCAACCUUCAAGUUCUCCUUAAGUUAAUGAAUUGGAUGGGAAAGCGCAUACAACAAUUCAAAGCAUUCCUCAAGGGUUCCUUACGUGAUGAGCACAAUAAAGAUACAAUCAAGAAUCAUGAAGCACAAUGAGAACUAUAAGUGUUGACGAGGCAUUCGUUACUAUGAUGAGCAUGAAACUAGUGCCAAGAAUUCAUUCAACGCGAUCGUUUUCAAGCGACCUUCACUACUUGUGAUUAUAAGAUUGUAACUAUUAGGUGAAACUCCCUUAUAAUCUAGCAUCAUAUUCAUGCAUGAAAACUAAGUGUGCACUCUCAAUCAACAUACACAAAUAAGUUAUCAAUCAAGUAGAUGAACGAAUUGACUUCACAACUUAUGAAAUAACAAUUGAAUGUAAUCAAAUCAUAUUGCAAGCAUGUACAUGGUUUCAAAUCACCCCCCAACUAAGGGGGUUUAGUUCCUCAUACUCACAACACAAAGUUUAUUGAAUUGAAAUAUUGAAAACAUAAGAAAGAUUACACCUAAAAGUUCCAGCAAUCUGCAAUAGACUAGCAAGCACAUUCAAGGGCACUCCUUCUUCCUUCUUGCUGCGGCAUAAGGUAUGGAGGAGGCUUGGGAUGGUUUUGGAUGAGGUAGAAUGGUAGAAAAGUGUCUAGGAUGGGUGUAUGGCACGGCUAGGGGGGUUUGGGGUCAGAAAAUAUGGAUUUGGGUGAAGGUUGGGCACGGCAAAGGUAGGGGAAAGGUUUCUGGCGUGAAUGGAGUUGUGUGGAUGUGUGUGGAAUGUUUUGUGGCUGCAACAAGGAGGUUUAUUUAAAGGAAAACAGAAAUUAAAACCCUAGGUUGAUUAGGAAAUCAGAAAUUAAGUCUAAGGAUUCUAGAAUUAGGAAACAAAUCAGAAAAUAAAAGGAAAGGUCAAGGAAAUAUGCGGCUAGGGUUUAAAACAUAUUAGGAAUGUGUUUUAAUGCUCAAAAUCAGGAAAGGACCCUCUCCCUUGCACGGCAAGGAAGAGGAAGUUGUGGAAAGGGUAUGUGAGGUGCGGCAAGGGUUGAUAUGGUGGAAGGGAGGUGUAUUUGAUGUCCUAAAAUGCUUAGGAGGCCUUCAAAGUUGAUAAGACUUAGGAACAUUUAGGAAAGGUCAAACCAAAGUAGGAAACCUUGGCUUAACUUUCCUAUUUCAAGUAGGAAUCCUUCUUGGAGUAGGAAUCCUUGUUCUUCUAAGAAUCCUCAUGUGAGUAGGAAUCCAUCUUCAAUUGGGAAUUCUCAAAUAAGUAGGAAUCCUUCUUCAAUUAGGAAUCCUUUGUUGAUUAGGAAUCCUUCUUGGAUUAGGAAACCAACUUUCUUCAAGACUUUAAUUCAUCCAUUCCUUUUGCUCCAAAAGGCUCCAUUUUGCUUCUUUUUGCACACUUUGACCUUAGAACCUGAAAACACACAAAAGUGACUUUAAACACUAAAAUAGCUAAGUAACAUAACCUAAGUGCACGAGAACAAGCCAAUUAAGUAGCAUAAAUAUGCUCCUAUCAGAAAGCCCAAAACCAAGAAUAGAAACUCUCGAAAAUGGAAACCUCUAAGAAUAGAAACUUCCAACUUUAGAAACUUUGGUUGCCAAUUCCGACUUCUUUGUUCUUCACUUUUAUUUCUUCAUUUCUUAAGCUCCUUUGACCUUCAAACUCGUCCAUUCCUUGUGCUCCAUAAGCAUACACUCCAUUCCAGCUCAAUUUUGCUCUCAAAUGCUCCAAAUUGCAUCAUUUUAUGUAAUAUGCUCUUAAAACCUGAAAACACAUGAAACUAACUUAAAAGACUACUUUAAACUAAGAAAACAUAACUAAAAUGCAUAAGUACUAGCUAACUAAGGCGCAUAAAUAUGCUCCUAUCAGAAAUGUAAGUUGAUGAGUAAGACGUCUAAAGUAUUUACCUCCUUAGAUUUGAUCCAAGGAAAAAGAAAGACUUUAGAUGAGUCUCCUUGGAAGAUAUCAAGGAAAGAAGCGUCAUAAGAUAAUGAAUUUCUCCAUUAAGGAGAAAAACGAACUCGAAUAAGAUUUAGUUCGUUAGAUGUUAUCUAUUACCCAUAUAUAGGAUAUAUACUUCUAAAACAAUAUGAUUGUCAAUUAGAAGAUCUUCCAAAUUUUUUAUGACUCCAUAAGAUGUAGUUGGAAAGAAAGACAAAUCUUAAGCAUGUUAAGAUUUGGGGUUGUGUGCUAAUUAGCAAUAUUUGUUUGAUAACAAUCUUGUGGGAUAUCCUUAAAUUAACUUUUGGAUAUCGCUUCUAUAAACCAACUAACAAAUGUUGUUUUGUUGGGUAGUUCAUUGUAAUCCUACAAUGUGAUUUGCCUAAGAGCUAAUGAACGAGAGAUAGAACUCAAAGGAUGGGUUCUUUGAGAGAUAAGAAAGUAAUCAACAAAUAUAACAACCUAGUUCCUAUACCAAAGGCUCCAAGGUAGUCGAGAAGGAUUUAUGAACCGUCUCAGUUGAAUGGUUUGAACUUUAUGACUAUGUCAUAGAGUUGCACCUCUUAAUUCGAAAGAAAUAAGAAUGAAAAUCCUUAUAACUACAUUGAGUGUAUAUAUGAUAUAUACUCAAGGAAAUGGUAAAGUACCAUUUGACCCGAAAUAAU
rnacentral:lncRNA from 1 species